AACAUCUAAGUACCCCGAGGAAAAGAAAUCAACCGAGAUUCCCUCAGUAGCGGCGAGCGAACGGGGAUUAGCCCUUAAGCAUCUUGGAAGUUAGUGGAACGGUCCUGGAAAGGCCGGCGAUACAGGGUGAUAGCCCCGUACACGAAAACAACCUUGAUGUGAAAUCGAGUAGGGCGGGACACGUGACAUCCUGUCUGAAUAUGGGGGGACCAUCCUCCAAGGCUAAAUACUCCUGACUGACCGAUAGUGAACCAGUACCGUGAGGGAAAGGCGAAAAGAACCCCUGUGAGGGGAGUGAAAUAGAACCUGAAACCGUGUACGUACAAGCAGUGGGAGCCCUUCGGGGUGACUGCGUACCUUUUGUAUAAUGGGUCAGCGACUUACAUUUUGUAGCGAGGUUAACCGUAUAGGGGAGCCGUAGGGAAACCGAGUCUUAACUGGGCGUCUAGUUGCAAGGUGUAGACCCGAAACCGGGUGAUCUAGCCAUGGGCAGGUUGAAGGUUGAGUAACAUCAACUGGAGGACCGAACCCACUAACGUUGCAAAGUUAGGGGAUGACCUGUGGCUGGGGGUGAAAGGCCAAUCAAACUCGGAGAUAGCUGGUUCUCCCCGAAAGCUAUUUAGGUAGCGCCUCGGACGAAUACUACUGGGGGUAGAGCACUGUUUGGGCUAGGGGGUCAUCCCGACUUACCAACCCCAUGCAAACUCCGAAUACCAGUAAGUAAUAUCCGGGAGACACACGGCGGGUGCUAACGUCCGUCGUGAAGAGGGAAACAACCCAGACCGCCGGCUAAGGUCCCAAAGUUCUGGUUAAGUGGGAAACGAUGUGGGAAGGCUCAGACAGCUAGGAUGUUGGCUUAGAAGCAGCCAUCAUUUAAAGAAAGCGUAAUAGCUCACUAGUCGAGUCGGCCUGCGCGGAAGAUGUAACGGGGCUCAAAC
rnacentral:rRNA from 1 species